GUGGUGGCUCAGCGGUAGAGCACUCUCCUCGAACGUGUGAGACCCUGGGUUGGAUCCUCAGCACCACA
rnacentral:tRNA from 1 species